UCCUUUGUUCCUUUUGUAGCGGUGCUGU
rnacentral:sRNA from 1 species